UAACACCUGGAAACAGAAUGCUAAUACCGGAUAACAACAGAUGAUGCCUAUCAACUGUUUAAAAGAUGGUUCUGCUAUCACUCUUGGAUGGACCUGCGGUGCAUUAGCUAGUUGGUAGGGUAACGGCCUACCAAGGCGAUGAUGCAUAGCCGAGUUGAGAGACUGAUCGGCCACAUUGGGACUGAGACACGGCCCAAACUCCUACGGGAGGCAGCAGC
rnacentral:rRNA from 1 species